UACGGAGGAUGCAAGCGUUAUCCGGAAUGAUUGGGCGUAAAGGGUCCGUAGGUGGCAGUGUAAGUCUGCUGUCAAAGAAUGAGGCUUAACCUUAUCAAGGCAGUGGAAACUACACAGCUAGAGUACGGUCGGGGUAGAAGGAAUUCCUGGUGUAGCGGUGAAAUGCGUAGAGAUCAGGAAGAACACCGGUGGCGAAAGCGUUCUGCUAGACCUGUACUGACACUGAGGGACGAAAGCUAGGGGAGCGAAUGGG
rnacentral:rRNA from 1 species